rnacentral:rRNA from 1 species
UACGUAGGGGGCAAGCGUUGUCCGGAAUCAUUGGGCGUAAAGCGCGUGUAGGCGGCUCGAUAAGUCUGCUGUGAAAGUCCAGGGCUCAACCCUGGGAUGCCGGUGGAUACUGUCGAGCUCGAGUCCGGAAGAGGCAAGUGGAAUUCCUGGUGUAGCGGUGAAAUGCGCAGAUAUCAGGAGGAACACCAAUGGCGAAGGCAGCUCGCUGGGACGUGACUGACGCUGAGACGCGAAAGCGUGGGGAGCAAACAGG